AGAAAGCUUACUUUGGAACAGUGGUUUUCAACUUUGGCUGCAUACUGAAAUAACCUGGGCAGCUCUAAAAAGUACUGAUGUCUAGGUCUCACCCUCAGAGACUCUUAAUUUAAUUGCCUUGGUAUGUUGCUAGUGAAUUGAGUUUCAAAAGCUCUCCAGCUGAUAUUAAUGUGCAGCUAAGAUUGAAAACCUCUGCUCUAGAGUUUAAAAAGGCCAAUAUUGUUUUAGGAAAACAGGUGAAGAAUAUUAGUUAGAAUUCUUCAACUUCUCAGGGUCCAAAGUAUACUUGAGUGAAGAAGUGAAAACUUGUAGAGAAGAAAACAGGUUAGGACAAGAAGUUACUUAGACUUGGGCCAGCAGGUGAUAUCAUUUUUACAAGGUGAAGAUGAGAAGAAAGAAGAAUGAAAUAGUUAAAAGAAGCAUAAACUGGACCUGAAGGCAGAAUCAUAAUUCAAAGUUCAGGUAGCUGAUCUAGGAAUGCAGCCUGAAGAAAUCAGCACCUCCUAGAUACAGAAUGAACAGAAGGGCUCAGAAGAAAUAUGAGGACAAAUAGGUAUGCUAGACUGAGGCAGAAGAGGCUUGAAUAUUGACUUCAUCUUUUAAGAUAACUCCCCAGUGUGGCCUUCUGCAUCUUGCCUUCAAUGCUGUGGCCCCUCCUUAGGACCAAUUUUUGUUUUUCAGGUUUUCUAGUCACAAGCAAUAAAACUAAACCAAAUUUAAGCUGAAAAUGAGUUGAUUGGAAGAGAAAUUAUAGAAGCAAUAGAAGUGCUGACGAAUUAAGCUUAGAAAUGGCAAGAGGUAAGGCCACUUGCAGUGGUAAACAGCCUAGAUCAUGCCUUAGAACAGCCUGAGUACUGCUUGAGGCUUCCCAGUCUCUGUUUGCUUAUUGGAGGUGACAUGGUUUUGGUCUAGGCCUCCAACAUAGAUUCCAGCCACUGAAUGUUUGUAUUACUCCUGCAGGACUGGAACUCCCUAGUACAAACAUCCAAUUGACAGAUCUUAGGUCAUGUAUCUUUGAUUUGGCUCUCUGAGGGCAAGGAGGGAGUUUCUGGGCCCUUCAGCCUAUGCAAUCAGAGCCCUCAUAACAUAUGAUGAGGGAUUUUCUCCAACCAGAAAAUUUUGGGGUACAGAGUAGGAAAACAUGAUAAUAAAAUAAUGCAACUAGAAACAUUUAAAAGGAAAAACAUUUGUAUAGAAAUGCAUAAUGGUUUGCACCUGUCUUGCAUUUGGCCUAAUGGACUCACUCCAUGCUCUAUCUUCAGAUACUUUUCUACUUAAAAUGUUAUUACUGUUGACUUAGCAAUUGUUAUGCACUGAAUGUUUGUGUCUCCCCAAAUUUAUAUGCACUGAAUGUUUAUGUCUCCCCAAAAUUCAUAUGUUGGGAUUUCAUAUGAAAUCCUAAUCCCCAAUGUGAUGGUAUUAGGAGGUAGAGAGGUAAUUUGGUCGUGGAUCUGGAGUCCUCUUGAAUAGGUUUAGUGCCCUUACAAAAGAGACCCCAGAGAGCUCUCUAGUCCUCUUCCUACCAUGUGAGGAUACAACAAGAUGAUGGCAGUCCUGCAGCCUGGAAGAGCGCCUUCACCAGAAACCGACCAUGCUGGCACCCUGAUAUGAGACAUCUGGCCUUCAGAUCUUUGGGAAAUAAAUUUCUGUUGUUUAUAAGCCACCCAGUCUAUGAUACUUUGUUAUAGCAGCUG
rnacentral:lncRNA from 10 species